UCUUAUUAAAACUCACACACUUAUCGACACAUAUUCCGGGGUGCUUUUUCUUUUAUUAGAGAGGGUCGGUGAUAUGGGAUAGGUGGAGGCCUAAC
rnacentral:sRNA from 1 species